UCAGCUUUAGCCCAAUAGGUAGUGCGUCAGUCUCACAAGCUGAAGGUCCUGAGUUCAAUCCUCAGAAGGAGGG
rfam:Monodelphis domestica chromosome 2, whole genome shotgun sequence.